CUGCCGCCCUCGGUGCAGAGUUCCCGGGAGCACUUGCUGGCUUCGGUUUCGCGAACUUCCUGGCCGCGGAGCUUUCCCUUCUACUUAAUGCUUGCUAGCUCGGCCGCACCGCUCCCCGCCCCCCGCCCCCGCCCCCGCCCCCGCCCCCGGGAUCGGGCCUCUAAUGCCUUUUCUUAACACCUUAUGUAGCUGAUUGCCUUGCCGAUCUUGCAUUACGGGCAGACUAAGGGCCCUCUUAAUGCCGCUUGCCUAAGACAAGGUCCCAUAGCUGGAGCAUGUUUCUUGUCUUUUUUCCUACUUAUUGGAGGAGGGGGCUCAGGUGAAACCUCCCUUUCCUCUUUGUUAUUUUGCCCCGGUGAUACUGGGGCUGAGGGAACACAAGGCGAUAAGAUUUCUCCCCACAGGCCGGGCGCGGUGGCUCACUCCUAUAAUCCCAGCACCUUGGGAGGCUGAGGUGGGCGGAUCACCUGAGGUCGGGAGUUCGAGACCAGCCUGACCAAUGUGGAGCAACCCCGUCUCUGCUAAAAAUACAAAAUUAGCUGGGCGUGGUGGCACAUGCCUGUAAUCCCAGCUACUCGGGAGGCUGACGCAGGAGAAUCGCUUGAACGUGGGAGGCGGAGGUUGUGGUGAGCCGAGAUUGUGC
rnacentral:lncRNA from 10 species